UACGUAGGGUGCAAGCGUUGUCCGGAAUUAUUGGGCGUAAAGAGCUCGUAGGCGGUCUGUCGCGUCGGCUGUGAAAUCCCGAGGCUCAACCUCGGGUCUGCCGUCGAUACGGGCAAACUAGAGUAUUGCAGGGGAGACUGGAAUUCCUGGUGUAGCGGUGAAAUGCGCAGAUAUCAGGAGGAACACCGGUGGCGAAGGCGGGUCUCUGGGCAAUAACUGACGCUGAGGAGCGAAAGCGUGGGGAUCGAAUAGG
rnacentral:rRNA from 1 species